CUACGCUGGAACUACUGCGUGAUCAAAUUCGAAAAAUAAGGUUUAAAUAUUGUGCUCUCUUUGCUGAAACUUAGGAAGGGAUGCGAAGGACAGUGGCGCAGCCUAUGGAACAAUCAGUGAAGAAUGGCGGGAAAGUGUUUAAAAUUUAAUGGAUGAUUGCAGCAACAUGUACGAUCUCGCUUAUUUAUACUACUUAACCAUUUCGGGAAACAAGAGUACAAGUUUUUAUUCCUUUCAAUAUAAUAAUAAUCGUAAUAAUAAUAGAUAAUAAUAAAAAUAGAUAAUAAUAGCAAUAAUAAUAAUAAUAAUAAUAGAAAUAAUAAUAGAAAUAAUAAUAGCAAUAAUAAUAAUAAUAGUAAUAAUAAUCAACAUAUCGUAAGCUUCCAUACGCAGAGCACGCUAAGUUAAUACAUGUACAUAGUUUCUUUACAAAAAUAAUAACAAUGUUUCGAUGCAACAUUGCGAAUCCAAUGAUCAAUCUCGUCUAGCUAAAUGACACUUUAGCAGCAUUUUUCCUUUGGAUAGAUAACUCUUGUUAACUACAUAAUCCCCGUUAUAUUCGUUCAUUGUUCUUACCGUUCGAUUUUUUCGAAGCAGAUCAUACACGCGUUAUCCGCGUGCACACCACUCCUUUCUCUCUAUCAUUUUCUUUCUUUCUUUUUUUUUUUUUCAUUCUUCUUCACACAUUUUUAUAAAUAAACUACCUUUAUUUUGUCAGUUAAUCGACAUUGUCUUUGGUACAUUUACAACGAACAGCAUAUAUCGCGACAGGAAGUACGGAUUUGGUAUGUCGGACGGGGUACCUACCAUCCGCCGUCAUAAAGCGCACGCAAUUCACGAAAAAAAGAAACAAAUUUCACUUGGAGACCUUUCGCGUGUCGUCUGAGCGCGAAGAUUUCCGUCCGGAAAUUAAAAAUUAAAACAAAUAA